rnacentral:rRNA from 1 species
UACGUAUGUCGCAAGCGUUAUCCGGAUUUAUUGGGCGUAAAGCGCGUCUAGGUGGUUUGAUAAGUCUGAUGUGAAAAUGCGGGGCUCAACUCCGUAUUGCGUUGGAAACUGUCAAACUAGAGUAUCGGAGAGGUGGGCGGAACUACAAGUGUAGAGGUGAAAUUCGUAGAUAUUUGUAGGAAUGCCGAUAGAGAAGUCAGCUCACUGGACGAAUACUGACACUGAAGCGCGAAAGCAUGGGGAGCAAACAGG